CAGCCGCCACGGGAAUACGUAGGGUGCAAGCGUUAAUCGGAAUUACUGGGCGUAAAGCGUGCGCAGGCGGUUAUAUAAGACAGAUGUGAAAUCCCCGGGCUCAACCUGGGAACUGCAUUUGUGACUGUAUAGCUAGAGUACGGCAGAGGGGGAUGGAAUUCCGCGUGUAGCAGUGAAAUGCGUAGAUAUGCGGAGGAACACCGAUGGCGAAGGCAAUCCCCUGGGCCUGUACUGACGCUCAUGCACGAAAGCGUGGGGAGCAAACAGGAUUAGAGACCCCAGUAGUCCCUGUCUCUUAUAA
rnacentral:rRNA from 1 species